AAGGCCACGAGGCCUUGUUUCUGCCUCCACGCAGUUCCCACACACAAGGCAAUCCUCACAACUCUCAUUCCGCUCACGAAUUUUCAGUGGAGACCAGGAGCCAAGGAUACCUCUCGUCCACCACUCCCACAGAGACACAGCUUUAUGGAUCAUCCCUGAGCUAACAUCUUCCAAUCCUCCUCUUUUUGCUGAGGAAGACUGGCCCUGAGCUAACAGCCGUGCCCAUCUUCCUCAAUUUUACAUGUCGGAUUCCUAUCACCACAUGGCUCGAUGAGUGGUGCCGUGUCUGCACCUGGAAUCCAAACCGGAGAACCCAGGCUACCGAAGAAGAACAUGCGACCUUAACCGCUGCGCCACCGGGCCGGCCCCAGUGUGAAUUCUCAUCAAGACUUUUUGUUGUGGAUGUUAUUUCUACUAAAACACAAAAAUGGCUUUGGUAAUAUAUUAGUUAGGGUUAGGGUUCUUCAAAGAAACCGAACCAACAGGAUGUAUAUAGAGAGAGAGAGUGACUUAUUUUAAAGAAUUGGAUCACGUGAUUGUGGAGGCUUGGCAAGUCCAAAAUCUGAUGGGGGAGGUUGGCAGUCUGGUGACCCAGGGAAGAAUUUAGUUCAAGUCCCAAGGCAGUCUGCUGGCAGAAUUCCUUCUUGUUCAAAGGAUGUCGGUGUCUGUUCUCUUAAGGCCUUCAACUGAUUGGAUGAGGCCCUCCCACAUUAUGGAGAGUAAUCUAUUUUACUCAAAAUAUGCCAGUUUAAAUGUUAAUCUCAUCCAAAAAACACCUUCAUAGAAACAUCCAGAAUAAUGUUUGACCAAAUAUCUAGGCACUGUGGCCCAGGUAAGUUGAUACAUAAAAUUAGCCACCAUAGGUAGGUUAUUCCAAAUAGACAUAUUUUGGAUUUGCCUGCUUUGUGUCUGCUUCACUUACCCAUGAGCUCCCUAGGCACACUGGUUUUCGGGAGAGUAGGUGAUUGAUAAAUGUGAGGUGACUUUCAUACAAUGAGGCCAAAG
rnacentral:lncRNA from 1 species